rnacentral:rRNA from 1 species
AUUGAACGCUGGCGGCAUGCCUUACACAUGCAAGUCGAACGGCAGCACGGGUGCUUGCACCUGGUGGCGAGUGGCGAACGGGUGAGUAAUACAUCGGAACAUGUCCUGUAGUGGGGGAUAGCCCGGCGAAAGCCGGAUUAAUACCGCAUACGAUCUACGGAUGACAGCGGGGGACCUUCUGGCCUCGCGCUAUAGGGUUGGCCGAUGGCUGAUUAGCUAGUUGGUGGGGUAAAGGCCUACCAAGGCGACGAUCAGUAGCUGGUCUGAGAGGACGACCAGCCACACUGGGACUGAGACACGGCACAGACUCCUACGGGAGGCAGCAGUGGGGAAUUUUGGACAAUGGGCGAAAGCCUGAUCCAGCAAUGCCGCGUGUGGGAAGAAGGACUUCGGGUUGUAAAGCACUUUUGUCCGGAAAGAAAUCCUUGGCCCUAAUACGGUCGGGGGAUGACGGUACCGGAAGAAUAAGCACCGGCUAACUACGUG